rnacentral:rRNA from 1 species
UACAGAGGUGCCAAGCGUUAGGCGGAAUCACUGGGCUUAAAGCGUGUGUAGGCGGACUUGUAAGUAUCUUGUGAAAUCCCACGGCUCACCCGUGGAACUGCUGGGUAUACUGCGAGUCUUGAGCCACUUAGGGGCUGUCGGAACAGGCGGUGGAGCGGUGAAAUGCGUAGAUAUCGCCUGGAACGCCAAAGGUGAAAACAGACAGCUGGGAGUGUGCUGACGCUGAGACACGAAAGCCAGGGGAGCGAACGGG